UGUUGUGUGAGGAGCGAACCAGUUAGAGAACCGAGACGAAACACGGCCAGUCGUCGGUUCUCUUUCUG
rfam:Pleurocapsa sp. PCC 7327, complete genome.